GUGCCCACAGCAUGUGGAAGUUUCCAGGCCAGGGGGCCAAACUUGAGCCACAGCAAUGAUAAUGCUGAGUCCUUAACCACUAGGCAACCAGGGAACUCCCCCAAAUCUGAGUGUUUAACCAUUAUGCAAACUUCUCUUUAUAUAGGUCUUUCCUUAUAAGUAACUUAGAACACAUGACCAUAUGUAGAUAUGUACUCAUUCACUCAAUAUGCAUCUAUUGAACAUAUUUGCCAACACCGUUCUGUUUGUUUCACAUUAGUAAAUUGAACAGAAUAGCAAAAUUCCUGCCCUUGUGGUGCUUAUAUUCUAGGAAGACAUGAACAAUAAAGAUAAUAUGUGAGUAAAUUAUACAGAUCUGUUAGAAGGUCAACAUGUGCUAUGGGGGGAAAGAGCAAAUGAAGUGAUUGGAAGGGCCAGCUUUACAUAGGGUAGCCUCGCUGAGGAAAUAAAUUUUGGGCAAAGACUUCAAGAAAGUGGAGCCAGAGCCACACAGAUAUCUGCGGGGUGUUGAUAGUGGGGAGAAUAGUAGGAAGUGAGGUCAGAGAAAUAGAUGAGUAGUUUAGGGAGGGUGUGUGUGGGGAUUGAUAGACCACGUCUAAAACUUUAACUUUUGAGUAAAAGAGAAACCACCCUCCUUCUACCAAAUUUCAGCUAAUUGAGAUGUUUCCCUCAAUAAGUCUUUAAAAUUGUACUAUACUUGAUUUACAACGUUCUAUCAAUUUCUGCUGUACAACAAAGCAACCCAGUUUCUCUCUCUCUCUCACACACACACACACACACGUAUAUAUACACUCUUUUUCUCUUAUUAUCCUCCAUCAUGUUCCAUCACAAGUGAUUGGAUAUAGUUCCCUGUGCUAUACAGCAGGAUUUCAUUGCUUAUCCAUUCUACACGUAAUAUUUUGCGUCUACUAAUCCCGAACUCUCAGUCCAUCCCACUCCCUCGCCUUCCCCCUUGGCAACCACAAGUCUGUUCUCCAUGUCUGAGAGUCUGUUUCUGUUCUAGAGAUAGAUUCAUCUGUGCCAUAUUUUAGACUCCAUAUGUAAGUGAUAGCAUAUGGUAUUUGUCUUUCUUUUCUGACUUAGUUCACUUACUAUGAGAAUCUCUAGUUCCAACCAUGUUGCUGCAAAUGGCAUUAUUUUGUCCUUUAUGGAUGAAUGGUAUUCCGUUGUGCAUAGGUACCACAUCUUCUGAAUCCAUUCAUCUGCUGAUGGACAUUUAGAUUGUUUUCCAUGUCUUGGCUAUUGUGAAUAGUGCUGCAAUGAAAACAGGGGUGCACAUAUUUUUUUGAAUGAAAGUUUUGCCCAGGAGUGGGACUGCUAGAUCCUAUGGUAGUUCCAUAUUUCGUUUUCUGAGGAAACUCCAAAUUGUUUUCCAUAGUGGUUGUACCAAUUUACAUUCCCACCAGCAGCAUAGGAGGUUCCCCUUUCUUCACUAAAUAAAUCUUAAAAGGGCAAGAUGUAGUGUUUUAAGCACAGAAAAAAGAAACUAUGUAUCCCUGAUUCUACAUUUAGCAAUAAAUUUUGGAGGAAGGAAUUGUCAAGUAUAAAAAUUGGGUUAGAAACAAAGAAGAAAGUUUACACACACAAGAAAUAUCUUGUGGAGAUAUUACACAAAAACACUGGGCUGUAGGUGACUUUCUUACAAUCAGUUCUCACACUGCUCUUUCAACCUAUUAAGGUAGGGUUAAAGACAACAGUAAAAAUAAUUCCAUGUUUUUUCAUGGAAAAUAGCUAUGGAUAUGAAAGCUUUUUUAAAUAAUUAUGCAUUAUACAUGAUCACAUAAUGCAAAUGUAUAGAUGAAUAAAUAAGAUCACUGACUAAAGAAGCAAUGACUUUUUUCCCUCAAGUAAGCCAAUACACAAUAAAGUAACUCAAAUUUUUUCUUAGUAAACAUAACUCCUCCUAAAGCAAUGCUCUUUAGUUAUAACAUAUUUGUGAAAUGUUAGAAAAUAAUGACAAUCAAUUCAGAGUCUCUGACCUCUAUGAAUAUUUAUCAUGUUUUCCCUAACAAAGAGGCAAUCUCUGGGAAUAUGUAGCUUAAGAGUCCAGCUUCACAAUGAAAUAAUAUUUGCUAUUUGCAAUAAGAUCAGAUGGAGUUUACCCAGCCAGUAGUCCUGAUGUCUUCUUUUCAACAGACACACAACAAACUCAAGUAGGAAACUGGAGGAUGAUUUCUUUCAGAUGUAAGGUAAUUACAAUUUGCUCAUAAUGUAAUUCAGUGACUCAACUAUGCUAUCAUCACCUUAACACAGAGCUACUAUAUGAUGUGUUUAUGACAAUGGAUGGAAAAGCCAUCAAUAUUAACUUCUCAUGAUUAUCCGCAUCUCUUUUUCACAUUUUAUGACUACCACUUAAGGGCUCAAAUUAGAUAUAAGAAAGAAUUUCUGAUAGCCAGGGUACUAAAAAUAAGAACAAAGGUAAUAGAAACAUCUUAAAGAUCUUUUAGGAAAAGCAUGAACAUUCACCCUUAGGGAUGAUUUGAUAUUAUUCUACAUGAAAGAAGAAAUAGCAGAAAACUAUGCAGGCCUCAUCUACCCUUGUUCUUUUCUUCUUCUGUUUUCUCCCUACAAUCAUAGUUCUCUAUAACCACCACUCUCUCUUGUACUAAGUAUAAAAUUUCAAAUUUGCUAUGUCAUUAGAAAUAAACACGUAUUCUACUUGCUCUCAUUAUUAUUAAAAUAAUGUUACACUGUUGAUUGAAAAUUAAUCUGAAACUGUCUUAAAGCAAAAUUCUCAAGGCCCUGUCUAAAUUAGGUGAAGAAAUGAUAUUUAAUUAGCUAUAUGCUUAGGUAUGUAUGCUGUGUUAAUCUGUUACCUAAACAAGGGGGUUAUCUUUUAUGUAAAAUGAAAUCAUGUGUUAUUUAUGCUUACAACUCCCUUGGAAAUGCAACAAUAUUAACAACAUGGAUUAACGGCUGGGUGGAUGGAUAUGUUAUUGAGUAAAUACAGCAAAAAUAUUAAAACUAUAAAACCUAGGAGGUGGCUAUAUGGACAUUUAUUGUAAAAUUGUUUCAACUUUUCUAUAUUGUUUGAAAUUUUUAAUGAUAGAUUGUUGGGGAAAAUGCAAUCAUAUUUGAAACAUUUUAAAUGGUAAGGGAGAAACCAAAUCACACAGAAUAACUCUGCAGAAAAAGAUGAGUCUUCGAUGCUUACAUCUGUCGAGUUGGAGAGGAAAAAAGAUUGCACCUUUACAUUAUCUACCUCCAGAAAAGUCCUCCAAAUUCAUCCUCCUACUGCGAAAUAAAGGCAAACAGAAAAGUUUAAGAAUUCUAUAAUGAAAGUAAGCUCCUUUGACUAAAUUUUGGAAAGUCAAACAUGAAAUUACUUCUAUAUCUAAAAAUACAAUUCUUUUCUACUCAGAAUAACUUCUAUUUCAAUAUAGAUUUCCUCAAAGGAGAUAAAGCCUUCUUUUGGAUUACUAAUUAUUCUUAUUGGAAAUGUCCUUUCCCUGUGAAAAUCUAAAAACAAAAACAUGUUAAAAAAAAAAAAAUGACCAGUACAGGGAGUUCCCGUCGUGGGGCAGCAGAAAUGAAUCCGACUAGUAUCUGUGAGGAUGCAGGUUCGAUCCCUGGCCUUGCUCAGUAGGUUAAGGGUCUGGUGUUGCCAUGAGCUGUGGUGUAGGUUGCAGAUGCGGCUCAGAUCCCCAACUGUUGUGGCUGUGGUAUAGACAGGCAGCUGUAGCUACAAUUCAACCCCUAGCCUGGGAACUUUCAUAUGCUGCAAAUGCAGCACUAAAAAGCAAUUAAAAAAAAAAAACAUAUGCAUGGAAGUAUAUGUGAUGUGUGUCAUAAGGCUUUCAACAUAAAUGACUUUCUAAAGUGUGCUAAGCAAGGCAUGUUUAUGUUUGAUAAUCCUGUCAACGAUUUUUCGGUAAUCAUCCAGAGCAUACCACUCCCUGCAUUUCAUAAAGAUAGAAAAAGACAUCAUAAGAAAUCACCUAGCUAUUAAUGGGUAAAUAAUGGUCUAGUUAACAUUUAUUGAAUACCUGCUAUGUGCUGAAAACUGUGCUAAGCCUUACGGAUGAGAAUAUGAGUAAAAUACAGUUCCUAACUCCAUUAAAUUGAUGGUUGUGUAAAGAGAACAUACGUAAAAGAAUUACAAAAUACUUAAAUUGAUGAUAAGUCCAUGUACGAAGUGUUACUGUAAUGAAAAGAAGAUACCUAACCUAGCCUGGGGAUCUCUAGGGCUGCUUCCUGAGUUUAGUCUUCAAGAAUGAUAGCAGUAAUUUAGGCAGGAGAGAAUGAGAGCGGGUAUUCCAUGUUGAAGUGGCUGCCUGACUAAAGGCAGCGAGGCACAGAGCAGCAUGCGUGGGCGCAGGGGUGAACUGCUAGAGGAAAAACUCAUGGGAUGUAUUGGAGACAGUUGUCACAUCAUGGGUGAUUUUGUGGGAUAUGUUAAAGGAGCCUGGACCUUCUCUUGGCCUCAAAAGGAUUUAGAAGGGGAAUGACAUUUUCAGAUUGUUUCUGAGCUAGAUCUCCCUGGCUCCUGAAAGAGGGAUGUAUGUGAGGGAGACAUGCUGACAAGCUGCAGGAGUGACAUAACGAGGACCUGAACCAAGACCGUGAUGGCAGGUGUGGUUUCUACCAAGAAAAAAACAGCAUGAUUGUCAAAUUAAAAUGUGAGGUGACUUCCAGGUAUCUGGCCUGGAUAAGCGCCUAGAGAUGACAGUGUCUUCCAAUCAAAGCAGAUAACAGAGGAAAAAGCCAAGUUGAAAGGUUAAAAGAUGGAUUCAGCUUUGGAUGUGUUAGAUUUGACAUGCCUCCAGGUUAUCCAGAUGCUUUCCAGCAGAAAGUUAAAUACAGGAUGUUGAGGAGGGGUCUGAAUGGGAGGUUGAAAUUUGAGUCUGCAAACUAUUAAAGGUAACUGAAAUCAUGAAAGUGAAUAGUCAAAGCUUUGUUUUUGUUUCUGACUUUAGCCAUUCUAAUAGGUGUGUAGUAGUUAUCUCAUUGUGGUUUUGAUUUUGAUUUCUCUAAUGUCUAAUGAUGUUUGGCAUCUUUUCAAAUGCUUAUUUUUCUAUUCAUGUAUCUUCUUUAGGGAUGUGCUCAAUUUUUUUUCACAUUUAAAAAAUUGGGUGUUUUCUUGUUAUUGUGUUUUGAGAGUACUUUAUAUAGUCUCGAUGUAAGUGCUUUAUCACACAUAUGCUUUGCAAAUAUUUUCUCCCAGUGUAUGGCUUCAGUGUUUUUUUGAAGACCAUAGCUUUUAUCUUGUUGGGGUACAAUCUUAUCAUUUUUUUUUCUUGCAUCAUGCUUUUGUAUUGCACUUCAGAAAUAUUUGGAAGUAGGUCACCAAUAUUUUCCCCUGUUUUCUUCUGGAAGUUUUAUGUUUUCCACUUACAUCUAUGAGACAUUUUGAGUUUAAUUAUGUACAUUGUGUGAGGAAUGGGUCAAUAUAAUGAUAUUGGAUAAAACGGAUCAUUAAGAGUGUACGGAACAGGAGUUCCCCUCCUGGCCCAGCAGAAACAAAUACGACUAGGAACCAUGAGGUCGCAGGUUUGAUCCCUGGCCUCGCUCAGUGGGUUAAGGAUCCUGCAUUGCCAUGAGCUGUGGUGUAGGUCGCAGAUGAGGUUCCGAUCUGGCACUGCUGUGGCUGUGAUGUAGGCUGGCAGCUGUAGCUCGGGUUCAACCCCUAGCCCGGGAAACUCCAUAUGUCGAGGGUGCGGCCCUAAAAAGAAAAAAAGAGUUUAUAGAACAAUAAAGUCAAAGACUGGACGGAAUUCGGGAAGAAGAGAUAAAGCCAAGGCCAAAGGAAGCAGAGUUGAGCAAACAAGACACAAGCCAUUGUCGGAGAAACACAAGGAACACUGAGUAAUCAACGCUAUCUUGGAUGAGGUCACUAGUGACCUCAGGAAAAGCAUAUUCAGUCAAAACAAAUAAUUUCGAUAUUGGAACUACUUCUAACCAACCACUUUAAGAAUUCCCCGUGGAAGCACUAGGUCUACAUUUGAAAUCCCUUAGCAUUCUUAAAGGUCACUUCUCUGGGCACAGGAGGGUCUGGGCUUCCCGGCACUGACAGUGAGGAUGACUGAGGCAGAUUCCAGUCACGCCACUUGGGGCACUCCAGAAUGAGGGCCUGGGGACAAACCCAAGGAAUCACUGCCCCGCUGGGAAAUCAGAACCGACACUCAUCACCAGGUCUUCCAGGCUGACACCUCACCAGGGAGGCAGCUGGUUAAAAUACAGUCGAAUGAAAAGGCGAGGAUGGGAAUGUGUGCA
ensembl:lncRNA